rnacentral:rRNA from 1 species
UAGUGGCGAACGGGUGAGUAACACGUGGGCAAUCUGCCCUGCACUCUGGGACAAGCCCUGGAAACGGGGUCUAAUACCGGAUGACACUCUUUCCUGCAUGGGGAAGGGUUGAAAGCUCCGGCGGUGCAGGAUGAGCCCGCGGCCUAUCAGCUUGUUGGUGGGGUGAUGGCCUACCAAGGCGACGACGGGUAGCCGGCCUGAGAGGGCGACCGGCCACACUGGGACUGAGACACGGCCCAGACUCCUACGGGAGGCAGCAGUGGGGAAUAUUGCACAAUGGGCGAAAGCCUGAUGCAGCGACGCCGCGUGAGGGAUGACGGCCUUCGGGUUGUAAACCUCUUUCAGCAGGGAAGAAGCGAGAGUGACGGUACCUGCAGAAGAAGCGCCGGCUAACUACGUGCCAGCAGCCGCGGUAAUACGUAGGGCGCAAGCGUUGUCCGGAAUUAUUGGGCGUAAAGAGCUCGUAGGCGGUUUGUCACGUCGGAUGUGAAAGCCCGGGGCUUAACUCCGGGUCUGCAUUCGAUACCGGGCAGACUAGAGUGUGGUAGGGGGAGAUCGGAAUNCCU